CAAGCCGUCAGAGCCUUGUGGGGUGAUGGCGUGCCUUUUGAAGAAUGAGCCUGCGAGUUAGUGAUGCGUGGCGAGGUUAACCUGUGUGGGGGAGUCGUAGCGAAAGCGAGUCUGAUAAGGGCGUGAGUCGCGUGUUCUAGACCCGAAGCGGUGUGAUCUAUCCAUGGCCAGGAUGAAGCGUCGGUAAGACGUCGUGGAGGUCCGAACCCACUUCAGUUGAAAAUGGAGGGGAUGAGCUGUGGAUAGGGGUGAAAGGCCAAUCAAACACCGUGAUAGCUGGUUCUCCCCGAAAUGCAUUUAGGUGCAGCGUUGCGUGGUUCUUGUCGGAGGUAGAGCACUGGAUGGUCUAGGGGGCCUAUCAGCUUACCGAAAUCAGCCAAACUCCGAAUGCCGGCAAGUGGAGCGUAGCAGUGAGACGGCGGGGGAUAAGCUUCGUCGUCGAGAGGGAAACAGCCCAGAUCAUCAGCUAAGGCCCCUAAGUGGUAACUCAGUGGAAAAGGAUGUGGAGUUGCGUAGACAGCCAGGAGGUUGGCUUGGAAGCAGCCAUCCUUGAAAGAGUGCGUAAUAGCUCACUGGUCAAGUGAUUCCGCGCCGACAAUGUAGCGGGGCUUAAGUUAUCCGCCGAAGCUGUGGCAAACCCGUGAGGGUUUGGGUAGGGGAGCGUCCUGUGCGAGGUGAAGCUGCCGGGUGACCGUGUGGUGGAUUGUGCGGGAGUGAGAAUGCAGGCAUGAGUAGCGAAUGACGGGUGGAAAACCCGUCCGCCGAUUAUCCAAGGGUUCCAGGGUCAAGUUAAUCUGCCCUGGGUGAGUCGGGACCUAAGGCGAGGCCGACAGGCGUAGUCGAUGGACAACCAGUUGAUAUUCUGGUACCGGCUUGUCACCGUCCGUGUCGAGGUGUGUGAUGCUAAGCGUGCGAGCCUGCCAUUGUGAUGUCUUUGAUGUUGUGGUGGUGUGGUGAGUGUGUGAACCGAUCAUGUAGUAGGCAAGCUGCGGAGGGACGCAGGGAGGUAGCUCAUCCCCGGCGAUGGUUGUCCGGGGCUAAAUGUGUGGACCGUCUGGUAGGUAAAUCCGCCAGGGUUGUGGUUGAGGCAUGAUGGCGAGCCCACGGAAAGUGGGUGAGUGAGUGAUCCUGUACUGUCGAGAAAAUCUUCGUGAGCGAGGUGGCUGGUCCGCCCGUACCCUAAACCGACACUGGUGGAUAGGUAGAGUAUACCGAGGCGAUCGAGAUCAUCAUGGUGAAGGAACUCGGCAAAAUGCCCCCGUAACUUCGGGAUAAGGGGGACCUGAACUGUCAAGGCCUGUACGGCUGGUAGCAGUGAGGGGCGCAGAGACCAGGGGGAAACGACUGUUUACCAAAAACACAGGUCCGUGCGAAGUCGUAAGACGAUGUAUACGGACUGACUCCUGCCCGGUGCUGGAAGGUUAAGGGGAACUGUUAGCGUUGGCGAAGCGGUGAACUUAAGCCCCAGUAAACGGCGGUGGUAACUAUAACCAUCCUAAGGUAGCGAAAUUCCUUGUCGGGUAAGUUCCGACCUGCACGAAUGGAGUAACGAUUUCCCUACUGUCUCCACCAUGAACUCGGUGAAAUUGCAGUACGAGUAAAGAUGCUCGUUACGCGCAGCAGGACGGAAAGACCCCGGGACCUUUACUAUAGUUUGGUAUUGGUGAUUGGGACGACUUGUGUAGGAUAGGUGGGAGACUGUGAAGUGGCCACGCUAGUGGUUGUGGAGUCAUUGUUGAAAUACCACUCUGGUCGUUCUGGUUAUCUAACUUUGGGCCGUGAUCCGGUUCAGGGACAGUGCCUGAUGGGUAGUUUGACUGGGGCGGUCGCCUCCUAAAAGGUAACGGAGGCGCCCAAAGGUUCCC
rnacentral:rRNA from 1 species